rnacentral:tRNA from 2 species
AAGAGUGUAGUGCAACGGUAGUAUAGUGAUCUCCAAAAUCAUUGGUAGGUGUUCAAAUCACCUCACUCUUG